AACGAGUAUAAAACUUUAUCUAACUUACUAUACAAAAUUUAUAUAAUAGUAAAAAAGCUUUUAUUCAAUGAUUAGACGACAAGACCCUUUAGAACUUUACUAAAAGUUAAACUGGGGAGGUAAACUAAAAAACC
rnacentral:rRNA from 1 species